rnacentral:lncRNA from 1 species
ACAUGAGAAAUGAACAUAGGGCUUCGUAUGAGAUAAAGAACUUGAUCAAUAUUAGGUAGAGGAAAAAUAGAGUAAAUGUGUUUAUAAUAUUUAGUCCUUGCAAUAAACAUGAGAUAAAUAAAUUAUUGGUCAAAGAAAUAGAAUUAUUGUUAAAUUAUAGUGACAUGAAAAAUUGCAGCAAUGAUAAAAUUCUAUUUCUUAACCCUACAAUUUAUUUACCUUAAUUUUAUUGCAAUGACUAAAUAUUAUAAACAUAUUUACUCUAAUUUUUCCCAUACCUAAUAUUGAUCAAGUUCUUUACCUAAUACGAAUAAUAUAUAACAAGAAGCUAUCCAUCAAAUUCUAGCUCAAAACAUGUACAAAUAAAAUCCUAUCCAUUCUCC